rnacentral:rRNA from 1 species
AUGUUCACUGCCGCGUCCAUUGGUGGAUUUAGAUUUCGCGGCUUCGCGCAACGUCCGGCUAUCGGAACUAGGGGAGGCAUCCUAUUGCUUUGGGAUGAGAACCUUCUUGAUGUCAAUGACAUUGUCGCAACCAACUACUGUUUGUCAGCCUCUGUGCGAACUCGUUCAUCCGGAAUCUGCUUCAAGGCAACAACUGUCUAUGGCCCCACGGACCAGGCUAGCAAAGAUGCUUUCUUUGCGGAGAUCAUCGCCCACAAGCCGUUGCAGGAUAUGGCAUGGCUUGUCCUAGGGGACUUCAACCAGAUUUACCGAGCUAGAGACAAAAAUAAAAGGAACGUGAAUCGUAGUAGGAUCAACCGCUUCCGGUCUGCGUUGCAAACCUGCGAACUCAAGGAAAUCCACCUCCAGAAUCGGCGUUUUACGUGGAGCAAUGAGCGUAAUAACCCAACGCUAUGCAAGCUCGACUCAUUCUUCUGCAAUGCCGAGUGGGACACCACUUUCAACACUCAUGUCCUCCAUGCCCUGUCGUCCUCCCUCUCCGACCACUGCCCCUUACUGCUAGCUGAUGACAAGGGGCCAAGACGGCCUCGA